rnacentral:rRNA from 1 species
GAUGAACGCUGGCGGCGUGCCUAAUACAUGCAAGUCGAGCGAACAGACGAGGAGCUUGCUCCUCUGACGUUAGCGGCGGACGGGUGAGUAGCACGUGGAUAACCUACCUAUAAGACUGGGAUAACUUCGGGAAACCGGAGCUAAUACCGGAUAAUAUAUUGAACCGCAUGGUUCAAUAGUGAAAGACGGUUUUGCUGUCACUUAUAGAUGGAUCCGCGCCGCAUUAGCUAGUUGGUAAGGUAACGGCUUACCAAGGCAACGAUGCGUAGCCGACCUGAGAGGGUGAUCGGCCACACUGGAACUGAGACACGGUCCAGACUCCUACGGGAGGCAGCAGUAGGGAAUCUUCCGCAAUGGGCGAAAGCCUGACGGAGCAACGCCGCGUGAGUGAUGAAGGUCUUCGGAUCGUAAAACUCUGUUAUUAGGGAAGAACAAAUGUGUAAGUAACUAUGCACGUCUCGACGGUACCUAAUCAGAAAGCCACGGCUAACUACGUG